UGGGGUAUAGCUCAGUGGUAAAGCACAUGCAUGAGGUCCUGGGUUCAAGCCCCAGUACCUCCA
rnacentral:tRNA from 1 species